AUGAUCGUCGGGCUUCCUAUCGAGGGGAAUCCUCUCUGUAUGAGUAUCGAUUCUGAUGGGCGGCGCCAGCAGAUGGAGGCCCUUAUCGGUAUGGCUCCUCCAGAGCCUCCAGAACCAGAAGGAGACAAGAAGAAGGAAAGAGUCGCAGUCGGUGCUCCUUUCACCUGGAUUGCAUGGCACUUUGGGAAUUGCCCUGAGGAGGCUACCAAUGAAGAGGUCCAGACAUAUGCUCGUGUCUACAUAUGGUACAUUAUCUCCAAGACUCUGUUUGCUGAUUGCACGGGCAAGAAUGCUCCAUGGAUGUGGCUGAAGGCGUUGACCGUCUUCGAUAGCAAAUGGAGUUGGGGUUUGGCGGCACUGGCUUACUUAUAUAAACUGUUAGACGACGCCUCUUGUAGGAUCUCAAAGGACGGAUGUAUUGGUGGUUGUAUGCUCGUACUUUCGGUAUGGAGUUGGGAGCGCUUGCCGGUUGGACGCCCGAAGCAGGUGGCGUACGAGGACUGGGGCGACAAACACGACGCAGUACGGCUCCCCACUUGGGCUUACAAGUGGGGUGUGGUACCUGAGAUGACGGACGACCCCUUGCUUAUGUAUAAGCAGUACACGAGUGGGUUGGGCACGAUUACGGCUGAGCAGGUGGAAUGGGAGCCGUAUGGCGUCGGGGAUAUAUUAGGUAUCGCUCGAGAGUUCGAGCUGAAUCUUAUGUGCCUGAGGGAUAGGUAUCUUUGGCUUAUGUGA
rnacentral:rRNA from 1 species